AUUUUUGUUUAUGUGUCAUUGUCACGUAUUGGUUACUUAACUGCUUUUUCCUAUUUUCAAACCAUUGUCGCUUCGGUUUAGGGUUAGAUUUGGUGUUUGCGUUAGGAUGUCACUUUAAGUAUUGGUUUAUACUAUUUUUUUUCCGGGAUUUUUUAUAUUUUCUGAUUUUUAGACCAUUAUCGCCUGGCGUUAGGGUUAGAGUUGGGUGUGGAUCUCAUUUUAUGUAAAUCUAUCCUUAAACCGAAGCGACAAUGGUAAGAAAAUAGGACAAAACAGUUGAUUAGCCAAUACGUGACAAUGACACAUAAACAGACAUUUGUGAUACGAUCACGAAAAAUGCGGAAAUUCGUGACAGUAUCACGAAAAAUAAAUAAAAAUUACGCGACUAUAGGUACGUAAUUUUGUGAGACUGGGCUGUGUCAGUCAGUUGAAACUUGAAUUAUUAAGAUUCUUCAUAAACACCAGUCACACACAUGUUUUAUGUAUAAUUUAGUAUGUAAUUGAAAAAUUCAAUAGUAGGUAAUUGAACUGUACAUAACAAUCAAGUUUGACUUUUUAGGCACUGACCGAAUUGCCUCGAUACCAUCGAGUAGAAGAAUUCGAUACCUAAAGUGUAUUCGAUUGUAUGCGACAGCACAAGAUCGGACCAGCAAAUGACAUCAAAGUACUUUGAUGCGUGCGACUGCGUGCGAUGCAAUAUUUGCAACAAGAUUAAUGCUGUCAAGGCGGGAAAACUACACAGCAUAAACUGAAAGAGCAGAAAGUUGCUCCGUCUUCAAAUGUAAGAAGACCGAGCCGGGGCAGUCAUCUUUUCAGUGUUGUGCUCACACGAAUCCUCCUUCACCCACCACAUGAGCUCUUCUCGAAAACUACCGAUGACGACAUAGGUGCUAUGACUGGCACUUCGACAGCCUCUGCACCUGCCGACACUUGCAUAAGGAGACCAUCAAAUGUCUCUCUGGCAAAAAAAGCAAAAAUGACAUCAUUGAUAUCAGUCAGGAGCGGGCUGAUCUGUCUCCUGAAAAAGCAGACAUUUAUUUAAAGAUCUUAAGCCUAUGUAGCAGGGAGCUGCACGUAGUGACUUUGCACUGAAAACUAUUUGAACUUUAAUAAAAAAAAAACUAUUUGCAGUGA